rnacentral:rRNA from 2 species
CACCGAAGCUGCGGCAGCGAACGUAUCACCCAAGACAACUUUACGGAGUUGACGAUUGACGGAGCGAAGCGACGUCAAAGCGUUCAUUAAAGUCGAGUUGGCUUAGGGAUACGUUCGUUGGGUAGGGGAGCGUUCUGUAAGCCUGUGAAGGUGUGUCGUGAGGCAUGCUGGAGGUAUCAGAAGUGCGAAUGCUGACAUAAGUAACGAUAAAGCGGGUGAAAAGCCCGCUCGCCGGAAGACCAAGGGUUCCUGUCCAACGUUAAUCGGGGCAGGGUGAGUCGACCCCUAAGGCGAGGCCGAAAGGCGUAGUCGAUGGGAAACGGGUUAAUAUUCCCGUACUUGGUGUUACUGCGAAGGGGGGACGGAGAAGGCUAUGUUGGCCGGGCGACGGUUGUCCCGGUUUAAGCGUGUAGGUGUGUGUUCCAGGUAAAUCCGGUUCACUUUAACACUGAGGCGUGACGACGAGGCACUACGGUGCUGAAGCAACAAAUGCCCUGCUUCCAGGAAAAGCCUCUAAGCAUCAGGUAACAUCAAAUCGUACCCCAAACCGACACAGGUGGUCAGGUAGAGAAUACCAAGGCGCUUGAGAGAACUCGGGUGAAGGAACUAGGCAAAAUGGUGCCGUAACUUCGGGAGAAGGCACGCUGACACGUAGGUGAAGUGAUUUACUCAUGGAGCUGAAGUCAGUCGAAG